rnacentral:rRNA from 1 species
ACGGAAGGCAGCAGUAGGGAAUCUUCCGCAAUGGACGAAAGUCUGACGGAGCAACGCCGCGUGAGUGAUGAAGGUUUUCGGAUCGUAAAGCUCUGUUGUUAGGGAAGAACAAGUGCGAGAGUAACUGCUCGCACCUUGACGGUACCUAACCAGAAAGCCACGGCUAACUACGUGCCAGCAGCCGCGGUAAUACGUAGGUGGCAAGCGUUGUCCGGAAUUAUUGGGCGUAAAGGGCUCGCAGGCGGUUUCUUAAGUCUGAUGUGAAAGCCCCCGGCUCAACCGGGGAGGGUCAUUGGAAACUGGGAAACUUGAGUGCAGAAGAGGAGAGUGGAAUUCCACGUGUAGCGGUGAAAUGCGUAGAGAUGUGGAGGAACACCAGUGGCGAAGGCGACUCUCUGGUCUGUAACUGACGCUGAGGAGCGAAAGCGUGGGGAGCGAACAGGAUUAGAUACCCUGGUA